CUCCAGUUAAAGGCUCAAGGUUGCAACCUCGACCUAAGGACUUCGCUGCUGGGAAAGCGUGACCUUGCGGUUAAGACUUGUCGAGCAAAUCUCCAGGGGCAGAGGUAAGGGCAAGGGCAAGCUGGCGAGCGACCAGAAGUGACCGUGGCGAGCCAUAGGGAUCUCUUGUUUCCGCUUUAUAUCUGAGUUCAGACCUUAAAUGUUUGCAUUUUAGUUAUUCCUUAUUUGUUAUUUUAUUUCUUUAAAAUUAGAUAGGGUCCGAGUGAGGAUUUUACCU